GACGAACGCUGGCGGCGUGCUUAACACAUGCAAGUCGAACGGAAAGGCCUGCAGCUUGCUGCGGGUACUCGAGCGGCGAACGGGUGAGUAACACGUGGGUGAUCUGCCUUGCACUUCGGGAUAAGCUUGGGAAACUGGGUCUAAUACCGGAUAGGACAGCUGUUUAGUGUCAGUUGUGGAAAGUUUUUUCGGUGCAAGAUGAGCUCGCGGCCUAUCAGCUUGUUGGUGGGGUAAUGGCCUACCAAGGCGUCGACGGGUAGCCGGCCUGAGAGGGUGUACGGCCACAUUGGGACUGAGAUACGGCCCAGACUCCUACGGGAGGCAGCAGUGGGGAAUAUUGCACAAUGGGCGGAAGCCUGAUGCAGCGACGCCGCGUGGGGGAUGAAGGCCUUCGGGUUGUAAACUCCUUUCGACAGGGACGAAGCUUUUGUGACGGUACCUGUAUAAGAAGCACCGGCUAACUACGUG
rnacentral:rRNA from 1 species